CCCAGACAGCCAGGAUGUUGGCUUAGAAGCAGCCAUCAUUUAAAGAAAGCGUAAUAGCUCACUGGUCGAGUCGGCCUGCGCGGAAGAUGUAACGGGGCUAAACCAUGCACCGAAGCUGCGGCAGCGACGCUGAUGCGUUGUUGGGUAGGGGAGCGUUCUGUAAGCCUGUGAAGGUGGCCUGUGAGGGUUGCUGGAGGUAUCAGAAGUGCGAAUGCUGACAUAAGUAACGAUAAAGCGGGUGAAAAGCCCGCUCGCCGGAAGACCAAGGGUUCCUGUCCAACGUUAAUCGGGGCAGGGUGAGUCGACCCCUAAGGCGAGGCCGAAAGGCGUAGUCGAUGGGAAACGGGUUAAUAUUCCCGUACUUGGUGUUACUGCGAAGGGGGGACGGAGAAGGCUAUGUUGGCCGGGCGACGGUUGUCCCGGUUUAAGCGUGUAGGUGUGUGUUCCAGGUAAAUCCGGUUCACUUUAACACUGAGGCGUGAUGACGAGGCACUACGGUGCUGAAGCAACAAAUGCCCUGCUUCCAGGAAAAGCCUCUAAGCAUCAGGUAACAUCAAAUCGUACCCCAAACCGACACAGGUGGUCAGGUAGAGAAUACCAAGGCGCUUGAGAGAACUCGGGUGAAGGAACUAGGCAAAAUGGUGCCGUAACUUCGGGAGAAGGCACGCUGACA
rnacentral:rRNA from 1 species